AGAGUUUGAUCCUGGCUCAGGAUGAACGCUAGCGGCAGGCUUAAUACAUGCAAGUCGAGGGGCAGCGCAGUGUAGCAAUACAUGGGCGGCGACCGGCAAACGGGUGCGGAACACGUACGCAACCUUCCUUUAAGUGGAGCAUAGCCCAGGGAAACUUGGAUUAAUACUUCGUAACAUUAUGAGAUGGCAUCAUUUUAUAAUUAUAGUUCCGACGCUUAAAGAUGGGCGUGCGUCUGAUUAGGUAGUUGGCGGGGUAACGGCCCACCAAGCCUUCGAUCAGUAACUGGUGUGAGAGCACGACCAGUCACACGGGCACUGAGACACGGGCCCGACUCCUACGGGAGGCAGCAGUAAGGAAUAUUGGUCAAUGGACGCAAGUCUGAACCAGCCAUGCCGCGUGGAGGAUGAAGGUCCUCUGGAUUGUAAACUUCUUUUAUUUGGGAAGAAACCCAUGUUUUCUAAUGUGGUUGACGGUACCAGAUGAAUAAGCACCGGCUAACUCCGUGCCAGCAGCCGCGGUAAUAC
rnacentral:rRNA from 1 species